GAUGGCCUUCAACAGACAUGUGCAAAAAAAAGGACAGACCUCUGGGUGGUCCUAAGUCAAGCUUGAGCCACCAUUGGCACAUGUGAGAUGCAGGAAGUGAGGUAGAGAACAGCUUCUGGAGUUCUCGUGACUUCCUGUAGAGAGGGUAGAGGGCAGUUCGAUCCUGGAGCUUGAGCUUGGAGGAGCCCCACAGAUAACUUUCCUUCAGAAUGGUCACGCUUUAUUAAGUACCUGUUGAAUUGCACUGAUCUGAAUUCAAGGAAGGAAGGAAAAAAAUUGCUAUCUAUUGUUUAUCAUGGAAUUACCCAUCUAGAAUGGACCUCAAAGACCAUCUAGUCUCACUCCAUUUGAGAAAUGACAGAAAUGAGGAUCAGAGAGUUCAUGUGAGCUUUCCUGGUUCAUGCAGAUCAAUACUGGAGUCGAUGGUUUGGCUUUUCAGCUCAGCUUAGGCAGUGGACAUUAGGGUGUAUGGUGGGCUGAACUCCUCUGAAUCAACAAGCAACUUGGCUCAACUUCUCUAGCCUGACCCUUCUCUGAUC
rnacentral:lncRNA from 1 species